ensembl:snoRNA
GAAAUUAAUAUAUCUGCAUAUUAGUCUUAGGUUCUGGUAGAAAUGACAUACAAUUAUGCUGCCAUUCUUAACUAUCAGGACAUGACAUUAAAGUGCAG